rnacentral:lncRNA from 1 species
UUUUUUUUUUUUUCUUUUCGGUUGUUGUUGUUGUUUUGUUUUGUUGCUUUUUAGGGCCAUAACCAUGACAUAUGGAGGUUCCCAGGUGUGGCCAUAAAAAGAAAAAAAGGGGGGAAAAAGGCCUUGGUUUUAAAAAUAUAGAAGAAAGAAUAUAAAUUUGCAAUUUACAGAAGGAAAAAAACUUCCAUGACCAAAGAAGAUGAAAAAACUUUUAGGCUCCUUGGCAAUCAAAGAUGGUACCUUUUUUUCUAUCCAUAGAGACAAUUUUUAAAAACGAUGAUACUGUUCACUGGUAUGAUCUGUUGGCAAGAAAGUAAAGUAACAGAGCACUGUGCACAGUGCAGAUGGGAGCACAACUGAGGCUGGGAGGGAGAAUCUGCAGAAGUACCAAAACCCUCAGAAUUUUGCAUAUCCUUUGACCCAGCAACGCCAUAUGCGAGACUUUGCUUCACACACACACACACACACACACAAAUCACAAAUAAGCACAAGGCCCUGCUCUGAGCACACUCAGUACUACCCUGUUCACACUAAAGAAGAGCUGGAAACAACGGAGCAGGUAGCAAUAUGGGGCACGCACACGGCGGAGGCUGCAGCCAUCGAAACGGUGACACGGGAGGACGCCCCUGAUGAGAACGGUGUUCUAGAACUGGUCACUGAAGCGAAGAGCUGCAAAAACAGCACAUGCAUGUUCUGGAUGGAAUACGUAACCCACAUAACUCACGUACUAUACACGGAACAUCUGGAAGGGGGACCCCGAGAUGUUAUCAGACGUCACCUCUGGAUAAUGGGCUGGUCCGAGGUUUACUCUCCUUUUUCUUUUCCCGGUUUUCCUAUGUGUUCAACAGUGAACAUGAGCACAGGUUAGAGCUGGACAGCUCGAAUUCUGCCACUGCCCCCUUGCAGCUGUGGCCUUUGGAGGCGGCAGGGACAAAAAGGAGCCAGCGCGUGAAAGCAGCAGGGGUAGGCCCCAGUCCCUCCCACCACAUCCCAGACGUGUGACCUUGGGCAAGUGGCGGAACUCAUCUCUAAGGGGCGUCAUGACAGCACCCACAUCUCGGGCUCAGCCUGAGACUUCAGCAAGGCAACGCAUGUGAACGGUUCCAGGCAGAGCUCACAGUUCACAGUUUUCUCCAUCAACAAGCAAAAGUACAAAUUAUUACACUGAAUUUUUGAAAAAAGCAAAGAGGCUACAGGUCAUGAUAGAACAAGUCUCUUGCCUUCAAGCAACUGGACAAUGGGAUCAAAUACAUGGAAGGACAGUGUUCAGGCCUGGACCAGAAGCAGUGCAGGGCUGUGGUCCCCAUGCAGGGAGGGGGGCCCCUGU